UGAUGAAAAAUUGCCUAAUGCCUUAAGCACUCUGCAAACAUAUUAUUCUAUAAAAUAAAUCUAUCUAAUACUUGACUUAAGAAAUUGCAGAAAGGUAUCGAGAAACUUCAUUGCUUGGAAGCUCUGGUAAGAACUUCUGAACUCCCUAGCCUAUCUCAGGGGGAGCUCACUUCUAUCUGAUCUGAUUAACUCUUAAUUUUUGAAUGUU
rnacentral:lncRNA from 1 species